rnacentral:lncRNA from 1 species
GGGGUAAUACAGGGCCUCUUAACUGAGAAUUAAAUUUAAGGGACUCAAUCAAGAAAUCAUGAAGCAUAAAUUGGAAUCAAGAUUAAGAUCAAUCAACAUGGUUCAUCAAUAGAGAAUUUCAAAGAUAUUUGAUAUGGUCAGGAUGAGGUCUGACAUCUUGCACAGAUAUCAGAGUGAUGCUAGGCCUCUUUAAAAAAAUCAUUUUGAGUUUAUAUUGGGGUUCGUGGAUCAGGUAGAGAGAGA